rnacentral:rRNA from 1 species
UACAGAGGUCCCAAGCGUUGUUCGGAUUCAUUGGGCGUAAAGGGUGCGUAGGUGGCGCCGUAAGUGGGGUGUGAAAUCCCGGGGCUUAACUCCGGAACUGCAUUCCAUACUGCGGUGCUUGAGGACUGGAGAGGAGACUGGAAUUUACGGUGUAGCAGUGAAAUGCGUAGAGAUCGUAAGGAAGACCAGUGGCGAAGGCGGGUCUCUGGACAGUUCCUGACACUGAGGCACGAAGGCCAGGGGAGCAAACAGG